rnacentral:rRNA from 1 species
AAACUAAGAAUACCAUCAAGUGGUUCCUCGGGAGACAGACAGCGGGUGCUAACGUCCGUUGUCAAGAGGGAAAACAACCCAGACCGCCAGCUAAGGUCCCAAAUGAUAGAUUAAGUGGUAAAACGAAGUGGGAAGGCCCAGACAGCCAGGAUGUUGGCUUAGAAGCAGCCAUCAUUUAAAGAAAGCGUAAUAGCUCACUGGUCGAGUCGUCCUGCGCGG